UGUUGGUUCUCCCGCAACGCUACUCUGUUCACCAGGUCAGGUCCGGAAGGAAGCAGCCAGGGCAGACGACGUGUGUGCCGGGAUGUAGC
rnacentral:SRP_RNA from 1 species